rnacentral:rRNA from 1 species
GAUGAACGCUGGCGGCGUGCUUAACACAUGCAAGUCGAACGAAGCACUUUGGACAGAAUCUUCGGAUGAAGUCCUUAGUGACUGAGUGGCGGACGGGUGAGUAACGCGUGGGUAACCUGCCUCAUACAGGGGGAUAACAGUUAGAAAUGGCUGCUAAUACCGCAUAAGCGCACGGUACUGCAUGGUACAGUGUGAAAAACUCCGGUGGUAUGAGAUGGACCCGCGUUGGAUUAGCUAGUUGGCAGGGUAACGGCCUACCAAGGCGACGAUCCAUAGCCGGCCUGAGAGGGUGGACGGCCACAUUGGGACUGAGACACGGCCCAGACUCCUACGGGAGGCAGCAGUGGGGAAUAUUGCACAAUGGGGGAAACCCUGAUGCAGCGACGCCGCGUGAGCGAAGAAGUAUUUCGGUAUGUAAAGCUCUAUCAGCAGGGAAGAAAAUGACGGUACCUGACUAAGAAGCCCCGGCUAACUACGUGCCAGCCGCCGCCGUAA